CCUACGGGUGGCAGCAGUGGGGAAUAUUGGACAAUGGGCGAAAGCCUGAUCCAGCCAUGCCGCGUGUGUGAAGAAGGCCUUCGGGUUGUAAAGCACUUUCAGUGGGGAAGAAAGCCUUGGGGCUAAUACCCUCGAGGAAGGACAUCACCCACAGAAGAAGCACCGGCUAACUCCGUGCCAGCAGCCGCGGUAAUACGGAGGGUGCGAGCGUUAAUCGGAAUUACUGGGCGUAAAGCGCGCGUAGGCGGUCUGAUAAGCCGGUUGUGAAAGCCCCGGGCUCAACCUGGGAACGGCAUCCGGAACUGGCAGGGUAGGGGGCAGGAGAGGAAGGUAGAAUUCCCGGUGUAGCGGUGAAAUGCGUAGAGAUCGGGAGGAAUACCAGUGGCGAAGGCGGCCUUCUGGACUGACACUGACGCUGAGGUGCGAAAGCGUGGGUAGCAAACAGGAUUAGAUACCCUGGUAGUC
rnacentral:rRNA from 1 species